GAUUGGCAGCAGUGAUAUGUUUUGGAACUUUUGAGUUUGUUGUUUAAAAAACGAUAGUAGAAUUUGAAUGAAAAUAAGUUGAUAUCUGUUAUUCACUGAUGUGUUACUAAAAUGUUUGCACUUGUGUGAAAAAAGCAUCCACCAUAAUAUUUGUUUUAUUUUGAGAUUGUGUUGUCAUGCUAAUGAGAAGAGCUGAUAAAUCACCACGUCUUUCGUAAUAAAAGUGGCAUCAAUAAGAGAGGAUUGACUUUUCGAAGACCUACAAUCUCAACUUCAACAUGCAACAUAUUUUGAUGGAAUUGAGAACCAUGAAAUAAUAAAUUCCCCAGAAGGGGGGAAUUUUUAAUCAUGCUAUAAUUUUCGUUACUUAUUGGAGCAUAUGUGUGAGUAUUGUUACUCGCAUGCAAAAAAAGAGGAAAUUUAUUCUUAUUACCCAUGUUAUAAAACAUUCAAACAUUUUACCCUUUUGAUCGCUUAUUAAUAAUAAUAAUAAUAAUAUUUUUUUAAAAAACCCCUUCAUUUUUGCCAUAUAUGAUCAAAGUCUUUUAAAUUGUAUUCAUCGCGAAAAUUUUAUUGGCAAAUUGAAAUUAAAGAGAUAUAUAUUGCUCGUGACAUGUAGAAAGACGUGCUUUAAAAAUGCAAUUUUCUCAUUGACCACUUAAUGGUGAAACCAUAUACUUCCGAAUUUUGUAAUAUUUUCUCAACUUCCGAAUUUAAAGAAACGUUUUGUGAUGUAUCCUAAAGAGAAACCACAUACAUGUGAUGUUUGUAGUAAAGCAAUAUUUCAAGGAUCGAUGUAAAAAUUCAUUAAUGUCGCAUACGAAUAAGGAAUCCUAUGCUUGCAACUUUUGCAACGAAGUUUUUUCUGUGAUUUCAAAUUUCAAACUACAUUUACGUUUGCAUACGCAAAAGAAACUGUUCAUAUGCGAACUUUGCAAAAAAACUUUUACCAGUAACGG